CUAAAAUAGAAUAUUAAGUGACAAGUGAAUAAAAGUGAAAGUAAAUGUAUGAAAUGGAUAAGCACCGCAAGGCGGUAACCCAGAGUGGAACCUCAGAUAAAGAUAGAGUGAUACACGAAGCCCAACGUGCAGACAUAGAUAGAGAUAAGUAAAGAGUAUAAAAACCACGGCCAGAGGCAACUGAGUCAGAGAUGAGAUGACUUGCUGAAUGGAUCAGACGCUGCUCAGACUCAAGACUCUCGCCUCCCGCCUCCCGACAAGGCGCUCACACAACCGGAGGGGACGCCCAAGACGUCAGAGCCCGAGCCUGAGAGCGGAGACAGAUGAAAGGUGAAUGGCGCCACUUCCUGGGUGGUCUUUCCAUUUCUUUCUCACUGAGUUGUUGAAGGCACUCGGGACAGAGUUGUAAGGACCCUUUCUAGUGUUGUUCCUUCUUGAAAGCUGAGUCUUAGGGGACCCCUGUGAAAGGGUGGAGCGACCUCCCUCGGCAAAGGUUGAGAGCUGCUGAUUUACUCCAAAGUGCCUGGAUUUACUUAUAGGCUAAUCUUAGUGAAAUCUUUGCGAGAAUCCUUCCCCAGCAAAGGCCUCUCCUACUGGGAGUAGAUAUAUCUUCUGUUCUUUGUAAGUCCCUAUUUUAUUGAAGGCCUUGCAGCUGUAGAUUCCAGGGGUCCGAGAGUCUGCCACCACCAAGGUGCUAACCGUCUGCAAAAGAGACACAAAGUUCAGCUGGAGGACAGAGAUCGAUUGGGACAGCCCUGAGUGACUCGGAGGGCUGGAGUGAUUCAGCUGUUCCAUGCACGUAGAGGGUAUGGCAGGGGUGGUAGCCACCCGCAAGCUCUCUGCUUUGGAGCCCCAGCACGAACAGAAAAAUAACAGGAAGACAGGUCCUCAGGAGACCGGAGCCCAUGACAUCCGAUGUAGGAGGGUUUCAAGGGCUUAUCUCGGUCUGCUGCCAUAACAAUCACAGACCUGAAACAGAGGUGUGGAACUGCACGUCCCACCCCACAAGGUGGUCUGUCCACAUCUGUGAGAGGAACAGACCAGCAAGAGCCAUGGAGGAUGUGGAAAAUUGUGGUAAGACAACCUUGUUGGGGACAGUGUGAGGGCAGCCACUAGCUGGUGGUAGCAGGAAAGACAGAUUGAUGAUCAAGUACAUUGUGACCCCCUGUGCUGUCUGGGGAGUCUGGGCUCCAGCCUGUCCAAGCUCUUCACGGGAAGAUCCGAAAUGAAUGUCUACACUGAGGACUUCCUGUUUGCAGUCAUCGUAAGCCCAAGUUACUUACUAAGUAAGUUCCUACUGUUGAUCAUAAAGGACCCAUGCAGAUUCUUGCAUGUAUAGUUGUCCAAUUUGGAUUCAUGGUUUAGUUAGAUAUGUCUGCUUAUAUUACAUAAACAGAAGCCCCAUUUCUGUUGGCUUGAGAAUAUUUGACAUUUCAGACAGUCACCGUUUAUACUGUUGUUAAAAUGACUUGGAUUUUGCAAAACUCAGAGUGACCGAGGAGAACUGGGGUUUGUGGCAAGGUGAAACUAGCCUGCAUAUGUACAUUUGCCAUGUUUGAGACCUGCACACAGUGGGCUGGAGAGAUGACGCAGUGGUAUACGCAUAUGCUCUUGCAGAGGAUCAGGGUUUGAUUCCCACAUAGUCGCUCCCAAUGAUCUGUAACUUCAGCUACAGUAACUAUAACCUCAGAAGAUCUGACACCCUCUUCUGACCUCCGUGGGAACCAGGUAUGCACAUGAUAUACAGUCAUACAUACAUGCAAACCCAUCAUACACAUAAAGUAAAUAAAUAAAUUAGACUUGCCCACACUGUCUGAAAUGGUUGUAGCAGCUUUAGUCUUAUUGAGCUAUGUCAGACUUUUUGUGUAAUCUGAGAAUAAAGCUAAGAUGCCCAGAGGUGAUAUGAAUCAAUGCCAUACAAUGAAGAGAGAAUUAUAAAUCAAAUAUUUUUUUUUCUUUGCCUAAGUAAUGCUUUCCAAUACAAGACACCUAUGCACCGUCAGGCACGCUCCAGAAUUGAACUCACCAUGGUUUCUGUUACUGUAGAAAUUAUGUAGGUGAAAUGUUUAUCAUUUCUUUGUGGCGAGUCCUUCAUGUUGCCCUUGGUGGUAACAGGACAGCUUUAUCUUAGCCCCGUGAGAUGGGGGCAUUAAACAAAUAAGGCAACCAAAGGUUUCUAGGAGUUAAAGGAUGAACCCCAAGACUCCAGAGACCACAGGCAUGUCUGGGAAGAGCAUCUAUCCUGGUGUGUAGAAUUCAAGAGCUCACACUCUCAAUCUCUGAUGGCUUCCCCACCAAAACUCUUCACAAUGAGUAGCAAAACCUAUUGAUAAGGACCUGUCUACCAUUUGAAUAGGAUUUUCCUUGAAAGUGGCUCUUUUAAUCAGCAGUAGUUGGUAGCAUAAGCUAAACACUGUUUUCCUUCUGGGAUAGAAUUUCACACAAACUGAAAACUUUCUUAUUUCUCUUUGGUUUUUCAAGACAGGAUUUCUCUGUGUAACAGCCCUGACUGUCCUGGACUUUAUAGACCAG